rnacentral:rRNA from 1 species
UAAUACGGGGGGGGCAAGCGUUGUUCGGAAUUACUGGGCGUAAAGGGUUCGUAGGUGGCCAACUAAGUCAGACGUGAAAUCCCUCAGCUCAACUGGGGAACUGCGUCUGAUACUGGUCGGCUUGAGUGCAGGAGAGGAACGCGGAAUUCCAGGUGUAGCGGUGAAAUGCGUAGAUAUCUGGAGGAACACCGGUGGCGAAGGCGGCGUUCUGGACUGCAACUGACACUGAACAACGAAAGCCAGGGGAGCAAACGG